rnacentral:tRNA from 1 species
GAGAAUAUAGCUUGGUGAUAGAGCCCAUGACUAGCAUUCAUGAGGUCCUGAGUUCAAUCCCCUGUACUUCCA